AUAUACCUUAUGACAUUAUAAAAUGCUUUAUAAUGUGUUAUGAUUAUUGUUAUAAAGAGUUAUGAAUAUUUAUGAGUUCUUAUAACUAUUGGUAGACGCUACAAUAUACCAAUCUUCCCAAAACCCUUCACACAGGCUAUCGGUAGAUGCUUGCUAGGCAGCUGGGCACAGAGAAGUGUCCAGUCUUCCUUCAGUUACUGCAGGUCAGGAUACUCAGACAGGUGUGUGGCCAGAAGUAAGUUUGGAAAGAUUAAAAUAAUUUUCUUUUAAUGUGAGAUUUACAUAAAUGACGAGUAGAGCUUGCGUGUUGCCAGAGAGAGAGAAAACUACUUAACUGCGCAGUGGAUAAAAAACAUCUUCGGGACUCCAGCAGGCGUUUCCCUCCAAACUGAGGGAUUAUCUUGGGACGAUUGUAUCUGUGAGUGGAGCUGCUUCGUCUGCCAUCCAGAUCAUCAUCGCUGCUCAUGGAUACCUUCAUCUUGACAGACUUAAAAACUGACUACGACUGAUGUCAUAAAGAAACUCAAAGUUGACAAACAACGUUAAAGGAACAUUGGAAGUGAAGGAACCCCAAACCAAAGAAGACUAAUAACCUUAAGACAGGGUCUCAUACACAACAUAUUGAAAGAGCCUGGUGAACAUCUGCCAUUUCAGGGGGAACCAAACGGCCACAGCGCUUAAGAUGAACCUCAGAUUCAUCAAGUGGAACCACCAGUUGGACAAAAAACAUGAUGGAGUGGUUGGAUGCCUUUUUAAAGACAUCGGAGUGUUAUUUAAGGUGUAAAAGUAGCACAACACAAAUGCUGUGUUUUCAUGUCAGAAACCUUGUAUAAAUUUAAUUUCUUUGUUAAUGUAUUGUCUCAAAAUAUAAAAGUGACAUUUGUUGAGUGGUGUGAAGACAUUAUUAUCAGGCCUUAAUAAGCAAGGACUUUUAAAAUGGGCAAUUUGUAACUUGAUUCUUGAUUAUGAAGUUGUAUUUGUCGAUAACUAGCAAUUUAGGGUGGCUACAAUUUUUAAAAAAGGGAUAUUUAGGAAAAUUAUUACAAGGUUGAACUGAUCCGAAAUUAUACAGAAAUGGGUGAGAAUGUAAAUGGAUAAAAAUCAUACUUCAUUUUACUGGCCUGCAGAAGUUAGGCAGAAACUACUUGGAAAUUAAGCUGUAACAACUCACUUCAAUUAGGAGUCUGCUCAGUAGAAAUUAGACAGAAUCUAGUUGGAAGUUAAGCUGGUAUGAUCCACAGAAGUUAAGCAGAAAUUACUUAGCAAUUACGCAGCAACAACUCACUUCAAUUUAGGGUUCCGCUCAGUAGAAAUUAGACGGAAACUAGUUGGAAGUUAAGCUGGUAUGAUCCACAGAAGUUAAGCAGAAAUUAUUUGGAAAUUACGCAGCAACAAUCAUUUCAAUUUAGGGGUCCGCUCAGUAGAAAUUAGACAGAAGCUAGUUGGAAAUUAAGCUGCAAAAACUCACUUACCAUGAAAUUUGAGGUA